rnacentral:rRNA from 1 species
UACGUAGGCGGUUAUUCAAGUCAGAGGUGAAAGCCUGGAGCUCAACUCCAGAACUGCCUUUGAAACUAGAUAACUUGAAUCACGGAGAGGUUAGUGGAAUUCCGAGUGUAGAGGUGAAAUUCGUAGAUAUUCGGAAGAACACCAGUGGCGAAGGCGACUAACUGGACGUGUAUUGACGCUGAGGUACGAAAGCGUGGGGAGCAACA